AUAUAUAUAUAUGUUAUGCCACACAGAUGAUGGUGGAUCUUAACCCCAUCAUAUGCAACCAAACAUACUUUUCGUUCAUUCAAUCCCACGGCCACAGGGUACCGGCUAGAGGGGAGAGAGA